UGGCAGCUGGACUGUCCAGUGGCUUAAUUUCUGACUCACCCACUAUAAUGAUCUCCAUAUGUCCAGGAGCAUUGAAAAAGGACCACAAGAUUUUCAUAGAAGUCUUUCCCACUGGAUGAUAUCUUGGAGUCUCCGUCUGAGGAUUUAGCAUGCCGGUCUGUCUGGUUCUGUGAUCGUCUAUCGAUAUUCUUUUAUUGGAAAACUUGGAAAUAUAUGAUCCAUCUUUUUUCUGAGAAUUCUCCCAGGAAGCUUGGCAUGGCGUCAUGAAAUUGGAAGAGUCAAGGGUUGCUCAACCAUCAUCCGUACAUGUGCGUGGACAAUUCUCCACUGUCAAAAUGAAUAGAAGUUUACAAAAGACAGGUCUAACAAAUCACCAAGCUCUGUCCCAAGCUGCAGUCUGUUUUCUUUGCCUCCUUCAAUGAAGUCCAAGUCAACUCUGACAAGAUCCAAGUCAACCUGGCCUGGGUUUCUCUUUCUUUCGCAUGCUACCAUGUGACAGGAGCAGUGCCAUUUGGCCAGCCCCAAAGUACAAUCAUUGGUGUCCUUCCCUGUUUGAAAUUUAAUUCAGCUGGAAUUGGAGCCAAAUAUGCUUAUGAGC